rnacentral:rRNA from 1 species
AACGAACGCUGGCGGCAUGCCUAACACAUGCAAGUCGAACGAAGCCUUCGGGCGUAGUGGCGCACGGGUGCGUAACGCGUGGGAAUCUGCCUUUGGGUUCGGAAUAACAGUUAGAAAUGACUGCUAAUACCGGCUGAUGUCUUCGGACCAAAGAUAUAUCGCCCAAGGAUGAGCCCGCGUAGGAUUAGGUAGUUGGUGGGGUAAUGGCCCACCAAGCCGACGAUCCUUAGCUGGUCUGAGAGGAUGAUCAGCCACACUUGGACUGAGACACGGCCCAGACUCCUACGGGAGGCAGCAGUGGGGAAUAUUGGACAAUGGGCGAAAGCCUGAUCCAGCAAUGCCGCGUGAGUGAUGAAGGCCUUAGGUUGUAAAGCUCUUUUACCAGGGAUGAUAAUGACAGUACCUGGAGAAUAAGCUCCGGCUAACUCCGUGCCAGCCGCCGCAGUAA